GAACGCCGUAUGAAUUGAAAGGUUCACGUACGGUGUGAAGUGGGGGAAAAUGAAGUCCUAACGAGUAGGGUCGAGGAUGGAUUUACCUAUCACUAU
rnacentral:ncRNA from 1 species